rnacentral:ncRNA from 1 species
AUUAAGUCCCUGCCCUUUGUACACACUGCCUGUCACUACUACCAAUGGGGUGGUUUAGUGAGGCCCUCAGAUUGGCGCUGCGGGGUCUGCCCAUGGCCCUGGUUGCGUGCUGAGAAGAAGUCGAACUUGGCUAUCUAGAGGAAGUAAAAGUCCCAACAAGGUUUCUGCAGGUGAACCUGCAGAAGGAUCAUUA